AUGAAACAUGGAGUCUGCUACAGGGCAUCUCUGCCUUCUGAAACUUUCUCCAGUACCUUCAACACAAGACUAGUGUUUUUCUCUGUGCCCAGUCUUGGGAUCCCAAAUAUCAAGGACAAACAGGGUGUCCUCUCAGCAGUGGCUGCUAUGAUGGGUGUUGUUGUGCAUGAUGAGCAGCAUCAAGGGAGCACCUGGGAACAGAUCCUGUGGCUCCUCCAGCAAUGCCAGGAGGUCCAAGAUAGCUUCCAGGUGACAGAGCAGCAAGAGGAGCUUCACUUCUUGGCCUUCAGCCUGUACAUGGCCCUGGCUGCCUCUGCCAAAGGGAUGACCAUGUUCUUCAGCAGAGAAGGGAGGGAGAUGUGGGUCAGCAUCUUCCUGCAUCUCCGGGACCCCAGCCUUGCAGUCUCCAGCGUAAGAGCCCCCAGAAUUUAUCUGCAAACCCACAGAAAGGUGCAGGACCCCAGCUGAGCUGUUUGGCUGCUGCAAACCUCAGCUGAAAACCUCGCAACCAUUCAUUUGGCACAACACUGUGACGCAUGCAAAACAGUCAGAUGCAUCUUGUGUUGCAAGUAGUCUGAGGGUACUGACUGGUCUGGGCCGCUGUCCUGGCUGCCCUCCCACAAGCAAGAAGAGACCUGAGGCAUCUCCUGGGUUGAAGCUGUCCCCAGCGCUGUGGCUGGACAACUACCUGUCACCUGCUUCACCAGUGAAGAGAGAAAUGGGGUGGAGCUAGCAACAGUCACUGCCAGGCAGUCAAGUGGUGACCAAAGCCUGUGUGGUCAGCACUGCAAUGGUGCAAGAAGAGGGGGCAAAGAGGGCUCGAGGUUGCAAAGCCUCCUCAAUAUUCAGGAGCAUUGCAGAGACUGCUUUGACGUGAAUGCAAAUGCCAGUAAUGCUUCCUCCUCCUCCGGAGCUGACAUUUACCAAGCAGAGCUCUCUUCUUUGACCUCUCUCUGUAAACAUUGACAUUGCAUUCACAUGGAUAAUAGAUUUCUGUCUGUUUUACCACAGCUGAAUGUUUCCACUGGGAAUGUUAUUGCUUCUUAUGGUUGGAAAUGCACCUGCACCAGCUGUGAGGCUGAGCAUAAAGCCCAUGCCAGCCCAAAUCCCCAAGUCUCUUAACAGACCACAGCUGCCUCAUUACCAUGAAGCCCCCAUUCAUCUUGAGAUGGCAGGAAAGAAAUAUUGUCCCAACACUUCCUCUUCCUUGGGAAAAAAAAAAAGUAACUAAAAAGAAAAAAACACCAAAUUUGCUUGCUUUCCUCUUAAAUCACUUUUUAAAUCACUGCAUCACUCUGAAGGAUGCAGUCCCAAGGCAAGUAUUCAGUCUGAAAAAAAGACUUGCCCAGCACCUGGGUACAUAACCUGUGCUGUCCUCCAAACAGCCCUGUGGUGAUGCUUGAGUGAGCUUGUGCCCCAGAGGAGGAACAACCUGGGCUUUUGGUUUUCCAGUAGCAAAUCUGGCUGUUGAUAGCUAUUUCUCUCUAGAAUAG
rnacentral:lncRNA from 1 species